rnacentral:rRNA from 1 species
CCCCUAGAUGUUCUGGGCCGCACGCGCGCUACACUGAACAGUUCAACAAGUCUUAACCUUGGCCGAUAGGUCUGGGCAAUCUUUGAACGCUGUUCGUGAUUGGGAUAGACCUUUGCAAUUAUGGGUCUUCAACGAGGAAUUCCUAGUAAACGCAAGUCAUCAGCUUGCAUUGAUUACGUCCCUGCCCUUUGUACACACCGCCCGUCGCACCUACCGAUUGAAUGGUCCGGUGAAAUCUCGGGACGGCGGCUUGGUCGCUUGCGUCCGACUGCUGAAACUUGAUUAAACCAUAUCAUUUAGAGGAAGGUGAAGUCGUANCA